CCCUACCUCUUCUUCCUUCAAGAUUCAUUUUUAUAAUUGUUCUUACCGCUUCCGACUCCUCUCUCCAUAUAACAUGAUCAAUUAUUUAGGCGAAUUAAGUAAAAUUUGGCGUUAUUUUGACAAAGUUAAUGAAAAUGUGUAGUAAAAUAUGUUUAACUUAUAUCAACACAUCUAGUCUUAACUCUCAUAUAAAAAAUGCACACCAAGUAAAUUCAAAAAUGAAGGAAUCCAAAAACAUUGAUAAAGAUGAUGUUGACAAGAUUGACAAUGUGUUGUUU